GUCCACGCCCUAAACGAUGUCAACUAGUUGUCGGGACUUUAUUGUUUGGUAACGCAGCUAACGCGGGAAGUUGACCGCCUGGGGAGUACGGUCGCAAGAUUAAACUCAAAGGAAUUGACGGGACCCGCACAAGCGGUGGAUGAUGUGGAUUAAUUCGAUGCAACGCGAAAACCUUACCUACCCUUGACAUGGAUCAAAGCUUCAAGAGAUUGGAGUGUGCUCGCAAGAGAAUGGUCACACAGGUGCUGCAUGGCUGUCGU
rnacentral:rRNA from 1 species